AGGAUCUGGGGAAGGCUGGUUGGGGGGUCUCUAGUUUCUCCACCAGGGGGCAUCCUGGGACCUUCUGGAGGGCGUGAACCUGGAGCUGCACACCUGCUGCCACUUACCAUUGUUUGGAGGGGUUUAUCAGGACGGAGCCGCCGACACUCCAGUGCCAGAGUGUUAGCCUGUGAUGGUUGUCGUUCCGUGAAGCCCUGAGUUUCUUCAAACUUCUACGAACCUGGGCAGAUUACCAAAGAUCCUCGAGACCCCGCGGAGUCUACCCGUUGGUGGCCACGUCCGUGAGACCAGCUCUCAGUUCUGUCGGUGGCAGAUCCCUGGUCAAGCGGAUCCCUUCCGGCACCUUGUCUGAGAUCUCCCUCCACUCACCUGUCCGCCCUCUAGAGAAACUCACGCCCUCGUUCCAGCCUGCAGCUCCGGAUCCUAGCGGUUCACCUCUCCAUGCUCAGACGAGCUCACCAGCAAAUCCAGAACCACGCAGACGAGCACCAGUUCCGGACCUCCUUGUACAUACCUGUUAGCACUGUAUUUAAUAAACCACCAUAACCUUUA